CGCGCUUGAAAAAGAAAAAGAAAAAGAAAAACCCACCCCCGAAUCGAGCGACUGCGUCUCCCACCCCAUCUGAAUCCGCUGCCUCGCCGCCGCCGGCCCGCAUCCUCCGCCGCGCCGUGCUGCUGUCCUCCCCGCACCCCGGCCUGCCUCCUCUCCGCCGCGCCCUCCUCCCCGCUCCGUGCUGCCGUCCUCCCCGCACCCCGGCCUGCCUCCUCUCCGCCGCGCCCUCCUCCCCGCGCCGUCCAAGUCCUCGCCCGGUUCGCCGACGCCGAGGCCCAGGCCGCCGCGCUCCGGGCCUGCACCGGCGGGCUCGAGCACGCGCCGCCAACCGCGACGGGCUGCUCAACACGCUCCGCGCCGCCACGGUAAACGGCCGGGAGGAGGAGGAGGACGCGCAGGAGGCAGGGCGGUGUCAGAAUCGCGCGCGUUGGAUCCGGCCGAUGGUUACGGCGACACGGACGCGGAUGCUCUGGCCGCGGCCGCCGCGCUCUAUGCCCCGCCCCUGCUUGCCGAGCCCUGCCUCUCCGGAUCUCCAGCCAUGUAUGAUGCUGGGGACCUUGCAGGUCCAUGCUCGUCGGCGAGGGGGAGCGCAGACAGCAGCCUAGCCCGUCACCGUCAGUAACAUGGCAGUAGGCCUCUUCUCCCCUUCUCAAUUUACAGCAGCAUGCCACACUCUCAGGCUCCUGUCCCCCGUCGUUAGCACACCGAUUCAGAGGCAGAGGCUGACUUGCAGCUCGUGGACACAGAGGAGGAAGCCUAAGAUCAAUCUCAAAAGUUGUUAUCAUUGUUCUCAGCCAGCGAUGCAUAGGGGAAUUGUUUGCUCAUCUAUGUGUUAAAAUCUGGACCUCUUCAUCAACGACUUCAAUAAGGAUGAGAUCAAGCUGCGUCUGCUGCUCUGUCCACCACAACAAUUUUGGAAUGCAUUAACUUUUAUCUGCCCAGGUUGAAUCCUUCAUUCCUCAUUCUCAUCCUAAUUUCUUGAUGUUGGGCAAGACACUCCAGAUGAGUUGCUAACAUCAAAAGGCUUCAGUUCUAACUAGAAGAAAUUUUGCUUAGGAAUAUUUUAUCAGUUUUGUGGUCAAUUAAUCAACUGGUGUUACAAUAAAAGCAAGAAAGUGAUGCAAGUUCUUUGGGAUAUAUGCACUGGAAAAUAUAUGAACACUGUUGGCCCAAAAUCACAGGGCCCCACUAAAUUGUUGGCCAUUUGGCCUCAUGAUUUUAAUGAUAAUCGUUCUACCAUGAAUUUUGUCUUCCGCUAGCAUUUCAACAGUACUGUGUGCUGUAGCAGUAUACAUCUGAAAGAGUUUCCUCCUAUGCCAUGGAUCCGGUGUAGCGCUCCAGUGAGAAAUAAUCAAUGGUGUACUUAUCCCCUUUACAUGUUCUUUAUUUACAUUUUUUACAUUGAAUUCUAAGCUAAGUGCUUAGUCUUUUGUUACUUGCAGCCUUGCAGGCAGGAACAUGAGCAUUCAUAUCUGGGAGUUCCGAAGAAGGCGUUGACCCCAUUAUAUAUAUUGCUGCUCUCUGCCAGAAACCAAACAAAUAACACUUCUAUGAUGCUGCUCACUGAUUGAUACUAAAUACGAGUAUAUGGCUUGUUCUCGAGGAUAGUUAUCACUUUUUGAUUCAUAUGGAAUUUGAGGAUAUGGAUGACACUGGUUUGUUUCUUUCACUACUAAAAUUCUGUCCACCAUUAGCUUACGGGCAAUGCUCCAGAUCCACGCGAACAUGCCCGAGUAAAUGCUCUUUAUGAUUCCAUGUUCUUAUGUAAUAAGACUUGAUGUGUUUUAUCUUCCAAUAAUUCAGACACGGGCCUUCCACAACUUGAUACAAGCUGCUGACAAGAGUUAGAGGGUUAGGUUUGAUAUUAUUAUUUGUUGUAUGACUAUUUGUUCUCAUUAUGGCACACCUUAUUUAUCUUUUAUUCAGUUACAUAGCUUGCCUGUAUUACUUCAAACAUAAUUAUACUGUGUACAUUUAGUGGAUACUAUUGUUGAGUAAAAACGAAAUUCGAACUUCAAAUUACAUACUGGAUUUAGAUUGUUUCCUUAGAAACCAAGAGUUCUUUUUUUGAUGAAACUGCCAGAUUGGCUUUUCAUUCAUGAAGAAGGGGUGUAGUACAAGGUGUUUCUCAAAAAUACAGGGUAGUAGAGCUGCAUACGAACUGUAUGCAGGAAACAUACAGUGGAACAUAACUGAAGCAUCUCUAAUCUGUCUCCCUUGGUUUUUGAAUCAGCUGGUUAAAACCCAAGAUAUCAUUUGCGGUUCCCAGUAGUUGUUUACUAGAGGUAUCCACGAUCCUUUAGAAAUUAGAAGUGAUAAGAAAAAAAAGUGGAACUGAACUGAAGCUAUUUCUGUUAGUAUUGUCUACGUCUCCUUGACCUUUCACGGGAAUCUGAUGUAACCAUCCUGCAACCUGCAAAUACUAUAGAUGAUAUGCAGAGAAGAUUUCAAUAUUACUUAUUACUGCCUUAGUACCAUGCCUUUCUUCUCUACAUAAAUCAUUUAUAAAGCUGUAGGAGGAGCUCAGCUUACAUAUAUGAAUAUCCGACUAAUUGCCUUACCACUAAUUAGUUGCCACACUGCAACUACUGACAGUGGAUACUGACAUCUUAUUCUCUUGGUAGAGUUCAAAACAACAUGAAUCAAGCUGAUGAAAUUCAGUUGUAUUUUUUUCUUUUCCGACCAUGUAGUUUUUUUAACUGCUCUGAAGGUCCUCUCAUAUAUAAUUAAGCUCACACACAAAUGUCCUUGUACGUACUAUAGAAUCAUAUAGCUGACAAUAUUGAACUUUUCUGUUGUAAUAAGAAUAUCAAGCAUUAUUUUGUCAUUGGUGUUUCAGUUUGUCGGUUACAGGUAUAUCAUUCCAAUAUUCAUACUAUAGAAGUUGUUGUCAGGGAGUGCGAGAGGGGUAGCAGAGUGGCCAGUGAGGGGAGCACCAUCACGGGAGCUGUGUUAAUAGAAGGCAACGUCGAGAAGAUGUCGACAACCUCCGUGGAUGAGCGGUGGUUGUGAGAGUUUGCCAAGGAAGGCCUACUCGAUCAUGGAGUGGCUAUCGCUGCAAAAGGCGACGCUAGCAACAGAGACAGCCAUCCAUUUGUGCCACCAUCAAUAACAACGUUGUAACAAGCAUGGCUCUGCACUGGUUGCUGAAGCAGUAGAGUGGCUUAUGUCAUGUAGGCAACUGGUGGCUACAAGGAUCCGUACGUAAACAUGAAUUCACAAAUUAAUCUACAACUAUGCGAAGAGGUGGCUACCUGGUGGCGUCGACUGGCCGUGAUGGUGGUUCUGGUGGGUCCCCGAUCUGGCUCGGACGGACGGCUGCUCCACGGGUGGUGAACGGUCAACACGGAGAGCACAACAUACCACAUACACCACCCGAUCAAUCUAGAGCCUGAAAGAGCAUCUGAGGACGCGAAAGAAAAAUUGCAAGUGAGGAGAGGAGACCAUCAAAUUGCAAGUGAGGAAAGGAGGAACAAAGUUGGUAGAUGCUCACCAAUGCCGGCGCUCCUCCACAAAUUUGCAGCUUUCCUCGAGCUCUCGUCUGUGGGUCUACUUCCUCAUCCUAACACAGAGCAAAUCAUGGCACAAGCAAUCAUGGCAGGAGGGGGGUUAAACGGGAUCUGACCUAGAUCGGGGAGAGAGAAAGAGGAACUCAUCGCGGUGGCCGGCCUCCCUCGCACCAUUCGCC